GAUGAACGCUGGCGGCGUGCCUAACACAUGCAAGUCGAACGGACUUUUCAUGAAGCCUAGCGAUUGAAAAGUUAGUGGCGGACGGGUGAGUAACGCGUGGGUAACCUGCCUUGUACUGGGGGACAACAGUUGGAAACGACUGCUAAUACCGCAUAAGCGCACAGCUUCGCAUGAAGCAGUGUGAAAAACUCCGGUGGUACAAGAUGGACCCGCGUCUGAUUAGCUGGUUGGUGAGGUAACGGCCCACCAAGGCAACGAUCAGUAGCCGGCCUGAGAGGGUGAACGGCCACAUUGGGACUGAGACACGGCCCAAACUCCUACGGGAGGCAGCAGUGGGGAAUAUUGCACAAUGGGGGAAACCCUGAUGCAGCAACGCCGCGUGAGUGAAGAAGUAUUUCGGUAUGUAAAGCUCUAUCAGCAGGAAAGAAAAUG
rnacentral:rRNA from 1 species